UAGGGAAUCUUCCGCAAUGGACGCAAGUCUGAUGGAGCAACGCCGCGUGAGUGAAGAAGGUUUUCGGAUCGUAAAGCUCUGUUGUUGGUGAAGAAGGAUAGAGGCAGUAACUGGUUUCUAUUUGGCGGUAAUCAACCAGAAAGUCACGGCUAACUACGUGCCAC
rnacentral:rRNA from 1 species